rnacentral:tRNA from 1 species
GGCUGCUGGUCGACGAAGGACGCGGCGGCGGCCUGCGCGGCGGCGAGCCGGGUCGGCUCGACGUCGGUGGCGGCCA